UGAGAAAUCAACUUCAGGAGGCUUACUGGACCCAUCUUCAGGCUGAGACGCAGAUAGAAUUUUAGACAUUAUGGCGUCCUAGACAAAAAGAAAAUGAUAUAAGCUCUAUAAUAAUAACUUUGACAGAGAAAACAUCAAAAACACAGUCAUAAAAGAUAACAAAACUGAAAACUCAAAUGUCAAUAAAUAAACUAAACUCAAUUAAUUUCUAGUCGAUAGAAAAAGUUGAGCAACUUAUUCUCUAUAUGAUUGGCUACCUAUAGAUAGAGAAGACUUUUCAUGACGAAAAUAUAUAGAUAAUUAUCACUAAAAAGAAUUUUUAAGAGCAAAAUUGUUAGUGACAAUAUAAAACAAUCACGAAUUAAAAAUUGCAGAAAACCAUAAUACCAAAACUCCAUACAAAACUAUAUACUAUUAACUAAUUACAUCAACAAAUAUUCUAGAUAAUAAUAUUUGGGAACAUAUCAUUGAGAAAGUAAGGUGAAACCACUCAAACAUAACAAGUCUGUACAUUAAAAAGACAAAACUAUAUUGCUUCCUCAUCCGCCAGUGUAGCAUCACUUGCCUAGUGAACAUCAAUUUAGAAUCAAUUUUUAUCUUCUUGUACCUGUGUAAAAAGAACAAAGUUACGGUUAUAAUAUUUACCUUUUGAUAACAUGAUUUAAGGAAAAUAUAUCUUCAAAAUUUGACAUAAAUCUAACAUUAAUUAGUAAAGAAAAUAAUAGAAAAAAAAGUAAGUACUGCGGAGCGAUGAUGCAUCUAUAAUUCAAAAUAUUAUAUAUUCUCUAGAUUGCAAAUUAUAAUUUUCUCAUGCUAAAAGGUUUUCUGAUUUUAAUGUCAUACUACCUAUAAAUUUCACUAGAAUUAUAAAGUGUGUAUAUAUAUAUAUAUAUAUAUAUAUAUAUAUAUAUAUAUAUAGAAUUCAAUAGCUUUUGCAUAGACCGUGUAUUUAUAUUAAAAAAUUUACUAAAUAAUUAUAAAAAUCUAACUGUGAAUCCAGUUAUUAUUGCAUAUUAAUUUAAAAAUUACGAUAGGAACCAAUAAGUUUCAAAUUCUGCAUCCGCCUCCCAUAUAUAUAGUAUUCCAACUGUCACUUCACAAAAUUAAUCAAAAAUACAUCACCACGACACAACAUAAAGCACACUACAUUGAUACAUGUACCAUAAGAAUUAGCAAAGGUUUUGAACGUAAUAUAACGAAGAAGGCUAGAUGCAGAAAAUAAAUACACAAAAAAACUAGAAAAACAAAAGGAUCUAUUAUAGAAAGAGAGAUAAGUUUAUUUACUUGUUAUAAAGGCCUGCAAAGGUGAUGGCUGGAUGGCCUUAGGCUGGAGAAAUAUAAAGCAAUUGAUAGAAAAGAAGAAAAAGUCUAGGGUAGGGAUUUGUUGGUUCUUUCGGAGUGUAGUGUAUCUGUAAUAAAGUUGGAUUCAAGUUAAUCUAUUAUCUAGUGGCUGAGUGGGUGAGAAUUCGUGGUUUAU
rnacentral:lncRNA from 1 species